rnacentral:rRNA from 1 species
UACGUAGGGGCAAGCGUUGUCCGGAUUUAUUGGGCGUAAAGAGCGUGUAGGCGGCCAGGUAGGUCUGCUGUGAAAACUCGAGGCUCAACCUCGAGACGUCGGCGGAAACCAUCUGGCUAGAGUCCGGAAGAGGAGAGUGGAAUUCCUGGUGUAGCGGUGAAAUGCGCAGAUAUCAGGAAGAACACCCGUGGCGAAGGCGGCUCUCUGGGACGGUACUGACGCUGAGACGCGAAAGCGUGGGGAGCGAACAGG